UAAUCAAAGGAAAUAAGUCGAGUCAGAUUUAAACGCACCCACGUUGAUUUUACAAUGGUGCGUCAAAAAAUGACUUACCCUGUACAUAAUUACGAGGGUACCUGGAAGACGUAGAUAAAAACCAUUUACACAAAAAUGUAUAUGGAAAAGUCUACGUCUCCCUUCGCUCGGGGGUAAACAUCGCCCAGAAAGCACGAGCAGCCCUCCACCCCGCAGCCAGCCCCCCCACCGGAACGCAGCCGCCGCACCACGUCGCCCCAACAACCCAGACAACGCAACACAAAAGUCAAAAACAAUUACUUGACUCAAAAGUCAAAAAGAACAAAAAUUUCCGGAGUGAGAAGUCAUUCAUACACGGCCUCAAAGCACUGAGGUCCCCGAGACCCCGCCCCCGGAGCGUUGACUGUUGAAAUAUUUAUUUUACCCCCCUCGGUGAAUUGAUAUUGAAGCAUGUAAACGACGUCUCUACCUUGUGAAAUUAGGGACUCCAAACUGAAUGGUUUUGCUACACACUGCAAGGAAUAGAUCCUCUCCAGGAAAAUUUUUCUCCCCUCCUCGUGUUCCGGGCAUUCGAUAAUCAUGUGAUUGAGGUCUUCUGGUUGAUCACAAGUCGCGCAAUUUGGGCUGUCUCUCAUUCCUAUUCCGAAUCUAUGCGCGCCCCAUAACUGAUUUGUACGUAUUCGCACCAUCGUGGAGAAAAAACGCCUCGAACCCUUACACCCUUGAAACCAAGGCUUCUUAGGCACCAUGGGAAACCUUAGCGUGUACAAUUGCCCUCCCUGGAAACCGUCAUGUAACAGUUGCCAAUCGCACAUAAAAUUUGUAACAAUUUGUCAAACUUCUUUUUGGGAUUCAUCUUGUUUGUUCUUUUGACCUUGGUCUGGGAUAGCUCAAUCAAUAGUGUUUAAACAAUUAAAAUGAAACUGAAAAAAAAACUUUUAUUGAUCUUUAUCUUCUUUUCUGACAACGAAAUUUGAGAAAACAAAAUAAGACUGAAGGAUCGGAAAAGGAUACUAAAGGAAAGAGUAUUAAUCUUCUUUUUUCAGGCUUUUGUCUUGAUUGCAAUUAUUCCAAAUGAAGCUCAUGCGGCUCCUCCAGUCGGAGAGGUAGACAACAGAUGGAGAAACGCAGGAUUGUACUGUCAAAAGGAAAGCAGAGGCUACUAUUUUUCGCAUGAAACUGACGAUGGAACGAAACGGAAGGAAAAAGGAGAAUUCAUAAAUGGCGUAUGGACGGUGAGCGGUGUCUCCGAGUGGCGAGCUGCUGAUGGAAGAAUACACAGGACGAUGUUCAAUACUGGCCGUAACCAUCCCUAACUCUGGCCUUCUUUCUCUCUCACUCUUUCUGUCACUUUUUCAUUCAUUUUUUCUCUUUUUCCUCUCUUUAUUUCUUGUUUAUCUCUCACUCCUUCUCACUCUCUCUCCCUCGCUUCCUCUCUCUCUCUCCCUCGCUUCCUCUCUCUCACUCUCUCUCUCUCUCUCUCUCUCUCUCAUUUAUUCUCUCUCCUCUCAUUUUCAUUUUAUCUACCUUCUUCCUCCACCUAUACACCUCUAUAGUCUAUACACCAAUAAUCUCGCUCUCUCUUUCUUUUUUCUUCUUCUGCCUUUCUUUCUCUCUUUUCUCUUCUCAUUCUCCCUCGUUCCGUUUCUUUUCUUUCAUGUCUUCUCUUUCCCCCACCAUAUUUCUUGUUUUUUAUGUAUUUUUCCCUUACUCAUUCUUUGUCCCUUUCUUGCCUCUCUCGCUCACUCCCUCUCCAUCUAUCUAUAUUAUCUACCUGUCAAUCGCUGAAAAUAUGUGCGAUUGGGAAAAAAAUAUGUGAAAAAAUGUUCAAAAAUGCAACUUUACACAAGACUGCUGAUUUGUUUUCAACGUAGUAAAAAUAAAUUGGUAAUUUAUAUAUUAAA